AACGCGAAGAACCUUACCUGGGCUCGAAAUGUAGUGGACCGGGGUAGAAAUAUCCCUUCCCCGCAAGGGGCCGCUAUAUAGGUGCUGCAUGGCUGUCGUCAGCUCGUGUCGUGAGAUGUUGGGUUAAGUCCCGCAACGAGCGCAACCCUUAUCUCCAGUUGCUACCAUUUAGUUGAGCACUCUGGCGAAACCGCCUCGGAUAACGGGGAGGAAGGUGGGGAUGACGUCAAGUCCUCAUGGCCUUUAUGUCCAGGGCUACACACGUGCUACAAUGGCCGGUACAAACCGUCGCAAACCCGCGAGGGGGAGCUAAUCGGAAAAAGCCGGCCUCAGUUCGGAUCGCAGUCUGCAACUCGACUGCGUGAAGCUGGAAUCGCUAGUAAUCGCGGAUCAGAACGCCGCGGUGAAUACGUUCCCGGGCCUUGUA
rnacentral:rRNA from 1 species